rnacentral:rRNA from 1 species
AGAGUUUGAUCCUGGCUCACCNANCAAUGCUGGCGGCGUGCUUAACACAUGCAAGUCGAACGAGAUGAUUGAAAGCUUGCUUUUGAAAGUCGAGUGGCAAACGGGUGAGUAACGCGUAGACAACCUGCCGUAAAGAUGGGGACAACAGUCCGAAAGGACUGCUAAUACCGAAUGUUGUGGAACUUCCGCAUGGGAGCUCCACUAAAGAUGGCCUCUACUUGUAAGCUAUCGCUUUACGAUGGGUCUGCGUCUGAUUAGCUAGUUGGUGGGGUAAAGGCUUACCAAGGCGACGAUCAGUANCCGGUCUGAGAGGAUGAACGGCCACAUUGGAACUGAGACACNGUCCAGACUCNACGGGAGGCAGCAGUGGGGAAUCUUCCGCAUGGGCGCAAGCCNNANUGANCAACGCCGCGUGAGUGAAGAAGGGUUUCAACUCGUAAAANUCUUUUGUCGGGNACGAAUGUGNGAUGNGAAUAACCAUUUUCAUGACGNACCUGACAAGGAACCCACGGUUUACCUUCGUGCCNNCANCCGCGGAAUACCU